GUGGUUGUAGCUCAGUUGGUUAGAGCGCUGGAUUGUGGUUCCAGAGGUCGCCGGUUCAAAUCCGGUCAUCCACCCA
rnacentral:tRNA from 1 species